UACGUAGGACCCGAGCGUUGUCCGGAAUUACUGGGUAUAAAGGGUGCGCAGGCGGCCGUGUGCGUCAGAGGUGAAAUCUCCGGGCUUAACCCGGAGGGUGCCUUUGAUACGGCAUGGCUUGAGUCCGAGAGAGGGUGAUGGAAUUCCUGGUGUAGCAGUGAAAUGCGUAGAUAUCAGGAGGAACACCGGUGGCGAAGGCGGUCACCUGGCUCGGCACUGACGCUUAGGCACGAAAGCGUGGGGAUCAAACAGGAUUAGAUACCCUGGUAGUCCACGCCCUAAACGAUGUAUGCUUGGUGUUGGAUC
rnacentral:rRNA from 1 species